CGGUUUGUAGACUCCUUAUCUGUAGCUUGUAGGUACAUACAGCCUAAUUUUCAUAAAUUAUUGCAAAUUCAUUCACUUUAGCCGGUAUUUGUUAAAAUUUGUGUAAAAAGAAACUAUCGCAGCUACUGUAAAUAAAAUUAUUGAAAAAAAUAUGUAUGAAAAUCGAUCACAAUCACGGGAUGGUGGACGUGGCGGUCGUGGUGGUGAUUCAAGCGGUGAUGAGCCCCCAAUGUCCCGUCUUUUUAUUAUCUGCAAUAAGGCGCAUACGGAAGAGGAUUUCCGAGAGGCAUUUUCUAAAUUUGGAGAAAUUGAGGAUAUAUGGGUGGUAAAGGAUAAACACAGUGGAGAUAAUAAAGGUAUAACAUACAUAAAAUAUGCCAAGACUUCGGAGGCGGCCAAGGCCCAGGAAGAGAUGAAUGGCAAGACAAUAGGUUCAUUGGAUCGCACACUCAAAGUGCUUGUGGCUGCAAAUCGCAAUCAGGGUUCCAGCAAAUCGGACAACGAACACGAAAAGUAUGUACGCCUCUUUAUUGUUUGCCCCAAAACAGCCACCGAAGAAGAACUGCGUGAGGAGUUCAGCCAAUGGGGCAAUGUGGAAAAUAUUACUCUAUUGCGUGAGAAACAAUCGGGCAAUCCCAAAGGUUUUGGUUACAUACGCUAUUCGAGUUUCUAUGAGGCUGCUGUGGCCUUUGAAAGUUGCCCGGCCAAAUACAAGGCUGUAUUUGCAGAGCCCAAAGAUUCUGGCCGCUCACUGAGGGAUAGCAAUGGCCGCGAUGACAAUUCCAUGAUGGGUGGUCGUGGAGGUGGUGGCAAUAAUUUCGGUGGUGGUUUUGGUGGCAUGGGAGGUGGUUUCAACAACAGUGGAGGCAAUGGUGGUGGUUUCAAUAAUUGGAAUAAUCUUUCAAGCAACAAGGAAAUGGCCCAGUUUUUGCGUAUGCAAAAUGUACAAAACCCCACUCCAUCCUGUUUGGAGGUAAUUGUUAGCAAUUGUGUGAAUCAGGAUCAACUAUGGCGAUUGUUUGACAUUAUCCCAGGAUUGGAUAACUGUAAAAUUACGAGGGAAUGUGGUCCCCGUACAAAUGAAGCCAUUGUUGUCUAUGACAGUCCAGAGGCAGCAAUCUAUGCCAAAGAUAAAUUGCAUGGCUUGGAAUAUCCCGCUGGUGAAAGGAUAAUCGUUAAGGUCUCUGGCAUGAGUUCCUCACGCAUUGAUACUUCCUUCAUAGAAAAACGCACAAAAAUGGAUUCCAUAUGUAGUGUUCCUUUGCCGCCAAUGGAACCUUUGGCUCCCAAGGAUGCCCAAGUAGCACAACGUUUAUUUAUAGUAUUAGCAGCGAAUGUGCCCAUUUCUAUACUCAAAAAUGUGUUCUCCUGUUGGCGUGGUUUCAUGGAUGUGUAUUUCUUGCCCAAUAAGAACUGUGGCUAUGUCAAAUACGCGGAUAAAAAUUCUGCUCAAAGUGCUAUGCAAACUUUACAUGGUGCGGAAAUAUGUGGCACCAGAAUAAAGGUUUUGGAAGCUGAGGAACGUGAGCACAACAACGAUGACACUGAUGGCAAUCGCAAACGCAUGCGCCGCAAUUAAAACAAACACUUGGUAAGUGUAUGAAUUGGGUUAACACUUUAUUCUAUUCCCAAAUAUUUCUUGCCAAAUUGAUGGGACUUGGACUUUUCGCUUGCCACAUUUUUUUGGGGGGGGCCAUAACGAAAUGCCUAUCCCCCCACUCAUUAUUUCUUAUACCAUUGCAGAGAUUUAUUUAUGUACUUCUCUAUGUGCCUACUACUACUACAUUCUUCUCGUCCAGUUGCCAAACAUCAUACAAGAUAUUUUUAUUUUCUAUUUUCACAGACAUCACGGACUACUGAACAGUAUAUGAGUAUGGACAUAAACAGAGACACAUACUUAACUUUAAGGACGUUUAUGAAUUUUUGAACUGACACCUACCUACUACUGGCAACAGAAUUAUAACGGAACGGAACGGAAGCAAGGACCUAUAUUAUUCCAUAUAGAUAAUAUACAUAUAAAUGUUAUGAGAACCUAUUCUCUAAUCUCACUCCCCCCCACCCCCCACACUCAUUUAUAUACACAGACACCUAACUACAGUAAGAUGAAGCGACAAUUACAAUUCUUAUUAAGUAUGACUAGACUCUUCUUCUAAACGUCUCCUCCACCACCACCACCAACAACAAACAAAACAGCACCUUUUUUUGAAGUAUUUGAAAAAUACUAAAACAAAGUAUAUAUAUUUUUAAAAAAACAAUCGAUAUUUAAACGCCAUUUGGUGCAAUAAUACUUGAAAUGCUCUAUUAAGUACAUAUUUAUAUUUUAUGUUUUACAAAAUAUAAUCACAAAACUAUGUGGACAAUCGGUGAAAUAUGAUUUUUUCAGGAGAACCAAGAUAACUACGGAUCUCAGUAUUAAGCGAGACCUGGAAACGAAAAAACAAAACAUAAAUAAAUACCUAUAACAAAAAUUA